rnacentral:rRNA from 1 species
GGCGUUAAGUUGCAGGGUAUAGACCCGAAACCCGGUGAUCUAGCCAUGGGCAGGUUGAAGGUUGGGUAACACUAACUGGAGGACCGAACCGACUAAUGUUGAAAAAUUAGCGGAUGACCUGUGGCUGGGGGUGAAAGGCCAAUCAAACCGGGAGAUAGCUGGUUCUCCCCGAAAGCUAUUUAGGUAGCGCCUCGUGAAUUCAUCUCCGGGGGUAGAGCACUGUUUCGGCCAGGGGGCCAUCCCGGCUUACCAAUCCGAUGCAAACUGCGAAUACCGGAGAAUGUUAUCACGGGAGACACACGGCGGGUGCUAACGUCCGUCGUGAAGAGGGAAACAACCCAGACCGCCAGCUAAGGUCCCAAAGUCAUGGUUAAGUGGGAAACGAUGUGGGAAGGCCCAGACAGCCAGGAUGUUGGCUUAGAAGCAGCCAUCAUUUAAAGAAAGCGUAAUAGCUCACUGGUCGAGUCGGCCUGCGCGGAAGAUGUAACGGGGCUAAACCAUGCACCGAAGCUGCGGCAACGACACUGAUGUGUUGUUGGGUAGGGGAGCGUUCUGUAAGCCGUUGAAGGUGUGUCGUGAGGCAUGCUGGAGGUAUCAGAAGUGCGAAUGCU